AAAUGGAAUGAUGGGAAUUUAAACCUCUUCCAGAGUAUCAAUUGGAGGGCAAGUCUGGUGCCAGCAGCCGCGGUAAUUCCAGCUCCAAUAGCGUAUAUUAAAAUUGUUGCAGUUAAAAAGCUCGUAGUUGAAUUUCUGCUGCAUCGUCGCAUCUCUUGCUGAGUGCUUCGUUUCGGCUUAUUUCGGAUUGAUUUUUUCUUUCCGGAUGAUUACUUUGAGAAAAUUAGAGUGCUCAAAGCAGGCUUUUGCCUUGAAUAGUUUAGCAUGGAAUAAUAAAGUAGGACUUUGGUUCUAUUUUGUUGGUUUUAGGUACCAAAGUAAUGGUUAAUAGGAACAGUUGGGGGCAUUCGUAUUUAACUGUCAGAGGUGAAAUUCUUAGAUUUGUUAAAGACGAACUACUGCGAAAGCAUUUGCCAAGGAUGUUUUCAUUAAUCAAGAACGAAAGUUAGGGGAUCGAAGACGAUCMGAUACCGUCGUAGUCCUACCC
rnacentral:rRNA from 1 species